UACGGGAGGCAGCAGUGGGGAAUAUUGCACAAUGGGCGCAAGCCUGAUGCAGCCAUGCCGCGUGUAUGAAAAAGGCCUUCGGGUUGUAAAGUACUUUCAGUCGUGAGGAAGGUGUUAAGGUUAAUAACCUUAGCAAUUGACGUUAGCGACAGAAGAAGCACCGGCUAACUCCGUGCCAGCAGCCGCGGUAAUACGGAGGGUGCGAGCGUUAAUCGGAAUUACUGGGCGUAAAGGGCACGCAGGCGGUUAAUUAAGUUGGAUGUGAAAUCCCCGGGCUUAACCUGGGAAUGGCAUUCAAGACUGGUUAGCUAGAGUCUUGUAAAGGGGGUAGGAAUUCCAUGUGUAGCGGUGAAAUGCGUAGAGAUGUGGAGGAAUACCGGUGGCGAAGGCGGCCCCUGGACCAAAGACUGACGCUCAUGUGCGAAAGCGUGGGGAGCGAAACAGGGAUUAGAUA
rnacentral:rRNA from 1 species